GCUGACGAGGGCACCAAUUUCUGAUAUCAUGUUUUCCUUUUGCCAUGUCGUCGUCAGUUGUCCGACGGUCGUCGUCAGUUGUCAGACGUUCGUUGUCAGAGUCAGUUGUCCGACGUUCGUCGUCAGUUGUCAGUCAUUCGUUGUCAGAGUCAGACGUUUGUUGACAGUCGUCAGUCAUUCGUUGUCAGUGUUAGUUCUCCAUUAUGAGUUCUUCCGUCGCCGCUUGAAGUAAACUAUGAAAAGCUCUCUCUCUAGCUCUAGAGAAAAACCACUGACUAGUUCGUUUUGAGGUGUGGCGUGGCGAGGAUAGAAGAGGCAGUUCGUUCUCAACCUUCCGAGACGACAUUUGGCGCCCAACUAAUCGAACCCACGACCCUGAAGCUCGUCGCUCUCCGGCCGGUGUUUUUCGUUUUCCUCUUCGCGUUCUCGCCAUGGCUCCGCUUUGCUGCGUCUGUUCAACCCUUUCCUAGAUCCUCGGAGCUCCUACUCAGUUUCUGUAGCGCCAUCGGUUUUCGGACAGCCGGCCAGUGUGCGUCCUGCUGCCCCAGUCUUCUCGGUCGGUGCGUACUGUCGGUCUCGCCGCUCCUGGAAGCGUCGCUGGGUCCGUCGGCAUAACCUGUUUUCUCAUGCAUUUGUACUUUUGUUUUGUCAUGACUGGUGGAUGGGUGGCGUACUAGGUUGGUGCUGUUCUAAGAAUAAAAGAUCCAAAGGGACAAACACAGGUCGAACAGCUCGCCAGCCGGGGUCCUUUGCAAAAUCUGUUGCUUGCAGGUUCCGUUGAUUGGUGCACAGUUUUGCGGGGCUCCCGACUGGUGUUAACCCUCCUGGCCUACUCGUCAUGCGUUCAACAGUUGUGGCCCACCUCUUUUGUGUUUUAUUGUCGCCUGUUUAUGUUGCUUCAUAUUUCAUUUCCCCUGUCUUUCUGUCUUCUUCUCCGGUCUGUCUCCUUCCGUUUUUUAUACACUUCACUUUUGCUUCCAUCCACAGGAGUGGAUGUCUUUUUUUGGUAGGGGAUAGUGUUGUACCUGCGCCUGCACGUGUUAUCUCUUCGUCGUAGCUGCUGCUGUAUUUGUGUCUCUGUGUGUACAUGUGGCUGCACGUGUUGUCUCUUCGUCGUAGCUGCUGCUGUAUUUGUGUCUCUGUGCUGCUGACCCGUACAUGCUGCUGCGCUGCUUUGUUGCUGACCUGUACAUGCUGCUGCGCUGCUUUGUUGUUGACACGUGCACAUUUUUGUGCUGAGUACACCACCUUUUUGUGCUGACGAGGGCACCAAUUUCUGAUAUCAUGUUUUCCUUUUGCCAUGUCGUCGUCAGUUGUCCGACGGUCGUCGUCAGUUGUCAGACGUUCGUUGUCAGAGUCAGUUGUCCGACGUUCGUCGUCAGUUGUCAGUCAUUCGUUGUCAGAGUCAGACGUUUGUUGACAGUCGUCAGUCAUUCGUUGUCAGUGUUAGUUCUCCAUUAUGAGUUCUUCCGUCGCCGCUUGAAGUAAACUAUGAAAAGCUCUCUCUCUAGCUCUAGAGAAAAACCA